UACGUAGGGGGCGAGCGUUGUCCGGAUUUAUUGGGCGUAAAGAGCUCGUAGGCGGUUUGGCAAGUCGGGUGUGAAAACUCCGGCUCAACUCGGAGACGCCACUCGAUACUGCCAUGACUCGAGUCCGGUAGGGGAGUGCGGAAUUCCUGGUGUAGCGGUGAAAUGCGCAGAUAUCAGGAGGAACACCGAUGGCGAAGGCAGAUCUCUGGGCCGUAACUGACGCUGGAGGAGCGAAAGCAUGGGGAGCGAACAGG
rnacentral:rRNA from 1 species